rnacentral:misc_RNA from 1 species
GUAGGUGAACCUGCGGAAGGAUCAUUAACACGUAUCCAAACGUAAAACCCCCCCCGUGAAUAUUAACGCUUCUCUCCUGACGAUCAGAAGAAAAAAUUCAAGAAAGCGCCACCUGGUAACUCACAUGUUUGUCAUGACUCUGUGUGCCGCUUUCUUGCCUUUUUUCCAAUGGACGGAGUGUGGAUCGAGUAAGUUCGCAAGUAGGCUUGUUUGCCCAUGCGGCUGCUGGCAGUAGGUGUCUGAAAGCGUC